UACGUAGGGUGCAAGCGUUGUCCGGAAUUAUUGGGCGUAAAGAGCUCGUAGGCGGUCUGUCGCGUCUGCUGUGAAAACUCAGGGCUUAACUCUGAGCUUGCAGUGGGUACGGGGCAGACUAGAGUGCGGGUAGGGGGAGACUGGAAUUCCUGGUGUAGCGGUGAAAUGCGCAGAUAUCAGGAGGAACACCGGUGGCGAAGGCGGGUCUCUGGGCCGUAACUGACGCU
rnacentral:rRNA from 1 species